rnacentral:rRNA from 1 species
CCCUAUGGGGUGCAGCAGUCGCGAAACCUCCGCAAUGCGCGAAAGCGUGACGGGGUUACCCCGAGUGCCGUCCGCUGAGGAUGGCUUUUCUUCAGUGUAAUGAGCUGGAGGAAGAAGGGGAGGGCAAGACUGGUGUCAGCCGCCGCGGUAAUACCAGCUCCUCGAGUGGUAGGGAUAAUUAUUGGGCUUAAAGCGUCCGUAGCCGGCCUGAUAAGUCCCCCGUUAAAUCCAGCGACCUAAUCGUUGGCUUGCGGGGGAUACUGUCAAGCUAGGGGGCGGAAGAGGCCGAUGGUAUUUUUGGGGUAGGGGUGAAAUCCUAUAAUCCCAAGAGGACCACCAGUGGCGAAGGCGAUCGGCUAGAACGUGCUCGACGGUGAUGGACGAAAGCUGGGGGAGCGAACCGGAUUAGAUACCCGGGUAGUCCCAGCUGUAAACGUUGCGGGUUAGGUGUUGGAACGGUUACGAACCGUUUCAGUGCCGCAGAGAAAUCGUUAAACCCGCCGCCUGGGAAGUACGGCCGCAAGGCUGAAACUUAAAGGAAUUGGCGGGGGAGCACUACAAGGCGUGAAGCUUGCGGUUCAAUUGGAGUCAACGCCGGGAACCUUACCGGGGGCGACAGCAGGAUGAAAGGCCAGAUUGAAGGUCUUGCUAGACAAGCUGAGGAGGUAGUGCAUGGGCC